rnacentral:rRNA from 1 species
UAAAGAGUUCUAUAACUCCCAAACCCAUGUGAACAUACCUAACGUUGCCUCGGCAGGUCGCACCUACCUUGUAGCACCCUACCCUGUAGGGCCUACCCGGGAGGUGCGGGUAAGCCUGCCGGCGGCCCACCAAACUCUGUUUGAUAUUGAAUUCUGAACCUAUAACUAAAUAAGUUAAAACUUUCAACAACGGAUCUCUUGGUUCUGGCAUCGAUGAAGAACGCAGCGAAAUGCGAUAAGUAAUGUGAAUUGCAGAAUUCAGUGAAUCAUCGAAUCUUUGAACGCAUAUUGCGCCCAUUAGUAUUCUAGUGGGCAGGACCGUUCGAGCGUCAUUUCAACCCUUAAGCCUUCGUUGCUUAGUGUUGGGAGCCUACGGCAACGUAGCUCCUCAAAGUUAGUGGCGGAGUUGGUUCACACUCUAGACGUAGUAAUUUUUUAUCUCGCCUAUUAGUUGGACUAAUACCCUGCCGUAAAACCCCCAAUUUAUCAAGGUUGACCUCGAAUCGGUUCAGACAAACUCGCUAAAUUGAAGCAUCUUAGUCAGCGAAGGAAAAGAAACCAACAGGGAUUGCCCUAGUAACGGCGAGUGAAGCGGCAACAGCUCAAAUUUGAAAUCUGGCCCUCGGGUCCGAGUUGUAAUUUGUAGAGGAUGCUUUUGGCGCGGUGCCUUCCGAGUUCCCUGGAACGGGACGCCUUAGAGGGUGAGAGCCCCGUACGGUUGGACACCAAGCCUCUGUAAAGCUCCUUCGACGAGUCGAGUAGCUUGGGAAUGCUGCUCUAAAUGGGAGG